rnacentral:rRNA from 1 species
UACGGAGGGCGCGAGCGUUAUCCGGAUUCAUUGGGUUUAAAGGGUGCGCAGGCGGCGCGGCGAGUCGGCGGUGAAAUCCCGGGGCCCAACCCCGGAAGUGCCGUCGAUACUGCCGUGCUGGAAUGCGGUUGAGGGGGGCGGAACGUGGCGUGUAGCGGUGAAAUGCGUAGAUAUGCCACAGAACGCCGAUGGCGGAGGCAGCUCGCCAGGCCUGCAUUGACGCUCGGGCACGAAAGCGUGGGGAUCGAAC